ensembl:snRNA U1 U1 spliceosomal RNA
AUACUUACCUGGCAAGGGAGACACCGUGAUCACCAAGGCGGAUCACCCAGGGCGAGGCUCGGCCAUUGCACUGCGGCUGUGCUGACCCCUGCGAAUUUCCCAAAUGUGGAAAUGUUGAUUGCAUAAUUUCUGGUAGUGGGGGACUGCGUUUGCGCUCUCCCCUG